GCCUCUGUGGACUAGGGAAGUCGCCUCGAAUAUCUGGUCUUGGAGACUCAAGCUCUAUAUAUUGAUUGAUUGAGGAGACGAGGGUUCGAUACCCUCUAGAGGCG